rnacentral:rRNA from 1 species
UUCCUACGGGAGGCAGCAGUGGGGAAUAUUGCACAAUGGGGGAAACCCUGAUGCAGCGACGCCGCGUGAGUGAAGAAGUAUUUCGGUACGUAAAGCUCUAUCAGCAGGGAAGAAAAAAAGUCCUUUGGACUUUGGACGGUACCUGACCAAGAGGCCCCGGCUAACUACGUGCCAGCAGCCGCGGUAAUACGUAGGGGGCAAGCGUUAUCCAGAUUUACUGGGUGUAAAGGGAGCGUAGACGGCGAUGCAAGUCUGAAGUGAAAGGCGGGGGCCCAACCCCCGGACUGCUUUGGAAACUGUAUAGC